AAAAAUUGUAGAAAUUAUCAUUGUAUAUAAAAAUAACAUAGAAAAAGAGUAUAUACUUUUCAAGUCAUAUUUAAAUAUUAUAUAAAUUUCUAUAUAUAAAUAUUUCUACAUUAAAUAUUUUAAGAAUAUGGCACAUAUUUACAAUAAUUAUUUAUUUAAAAAAUUAUUUAAUUAAUUCAUCAUCAUAUAAUCUUUAAAAAUUUUUUUUAAAGAAAAACAUAAUCGAACAUAUUUUAAUGUACACUAUUUUUAAUUGUAAAGACAUAUAUCACAGUCACAAAAUCUAUUUGUAAUGUUUAUAUGUUUUAAAG